CGGCCAGGUUCAGACAUCGACCAGCAACAUCGAUCUUUCUUAAAUUGGCAGUCUCCC
rnacentral:misc_RNA from 1 species